GGCCGCCUGGCGUAAUGGCAACGCGUCUGACUACGAUCGCAGCAUCCUCUGGGAAUUGUAUAUCAGGAGAUUGCAGGUUCGACCCCUGCGGUGGUCA